GCCCCGCCCCGCCUCCCGGCCUCGGUCUUCCUUCCGGGUCGCGCUGGGCCGGGCCCGCCGCCGCGGCAGCAGCACGGGAUACUGGGAGCCGUCUCCUGCUGCCCACGCUGCGGGCUUGCGGCGAAGCUCUGUUCGCCCAGUUCCGGACCCUGCAGGGCUGUCUCAUCUCAGCAUCUGUAGGUGAAAGCAGCAUGCAUGUUUCAGACACGUGGAUGGGCACCAACUCCUGUGCUUCCCGUGUGUGUCAGGUGACCUGUCAAGCCAGGACCAUCCUUCAGAGUUCAUGCAUCUCACCGAGGACACCUGACCUUUUGAAGCUUCAUAAUUCACGACUAGAUGUCACCAGUCUUUCCCAUGUUAACAGUUCUGACCAUGUUUUAUUAUAUGUGCCUUCGGCGUCGAGCCAGGACAGCUACAAGAGGAGAUAUGAUGAACAGCCAUAGGACUAUAGUGUCAAACAGCCGGACUUCCCCUCUCAAUGCAGAGGUGGUCCAGUAUGCUAAAGAAGUGGUGGAUUUCAGUUCCCAUUACGGCAGUGAGAACAGUAUGUCCUAUACCAUGUGGAAUUUGGCAGGUGUACCAAAUGUCUUCCCAAGUUCUGGUGACUUCACGCAGACGGCUGUGUUUCGAACUUAUGGGACGUGGUGGGAUCAGUGUCCUAGUGCUUCCUUGCCAUUCAGAAGGACACCGUCCAGUUUCCAGAGCCAGGACUAUGUGGAACUGACUUUUGAGCAGCAAGUGUACCCCACGGCUGUCCAUGUGCUGGAGACUUACCAUCCUGGAGCAGUCAUCAGAAUUCUGGCCUGCUCAGCAAAUCCCUACUCCCCAAAUCCUCCAGCUGAAGUAAGAUGGGAGAUUCUUUGGUCAGAGAGACCUAUGAAGGUGAAUGCUUCCCAGGCUCGUCAGUUUAAACCUUGUAUUAAGCAAAUAAAUUUCCCUACAAACCUCAUACGACUGGAAGUCAAUAGUUCUCUUCUGGAUUAUUACACCGAACUAGAUGCAGUUGUGCUGCAUGGUACGAAGGACAAGCCACUGCUCUCUCUCAAGACUGCUCUUGUAGACAUGAAUGAUCUAGAAGAUGACGACUAUGAAGAGAAGGAUGGCUGUGAGAUGGAUGCUCUUAACAAAAAGUUUAGCAGUGCUGCCCUUGGGGAUGGGCCACAUAAUGGGUAUUUUGACAAACUACCAUAUGAGCUCAUUCAACUGAUUCUGAAUCAUCUUUCACUACCAGACCUGUGUAGAUUAGCCCAGACUUGCAGGCUUCUCCACCAGCAUUGCUGUGAUCCUCUGCAAUAUAUCCACCUCAACCUGCAGCCAUACUGGGCCCGGCUGGACGACACGUCACUGGAGUUCCUACAGGCUCGCUGUGUGCUUGUCCAGUGGCUUAAUCUGUCUUGGACUGGCAACAGAGGGUUCAUCUCUGUAUCAGGAUUUAGCAGGUUUCUAAAGGUGUGUGGGUCUGAGUUAGUACGCCUUGAGUUAUCCUGCAGCCACUUUCUUAAUGACACUUGCUUGGAGGUUAUUUCUGAAAUGUGCCCAAAUCUACAAGACUUAAAUCUCUCAUCCUGCGAUAAACUCCCACCUCAGGCUUUUGGCCAUAUUGCCAAGUUAUGCAGCCUCAAGAGGCUUGUUCUCUAUCGGACAAAAGUAGAGCAAACAGCACUACUGAGCAUUUUGAACUUCUGUGCAGAGCUUCAGCACCUCAGCCUGGGCAGCUGUGUGAUGUCCCAGUGCUUAGGUCCUAUAAAGUGCAAGCAUGGACCCAAACAGUUCCAGUUUCCUGGGUCAGUCUUGGGAACCUACUAGAUUCAUGUACUUCAAGUCCAAUUCCUACGUUUGUAAGCAACCUUGUAGUCUUCUUUGGAGCCCUCUAGUAGCUCUUCUAAAGGAUCCCAGUGGCCCUCGAUGGCAGUUUCUAUGACAACAGACCAGCUGCUUGACUACAUAUUGCUUGCCUGCCCCACUAAGGAGGUGAACAAUCCAGGCUGGUUUGUGAAUGGGACUCCACAUUCCGCUGAGAGGUCUAGACUCUGCUCUUGAAGACUGUAUGUUCACACAUUGGAGCUCAAGGUUAGGACUAGAGCUCUGGUCAUCUCGUUCCCAUGUCAAACUGUAGACUGGGCAAAGGCACAGUACCCUUCCUCCCUUCAGGAUUCUUUCUAGAAGUAUCGGUCCUUUGCAGACUUAUUUCCUAACUAUCCAGAACUUAGUCAUAUGGCUCACUUUGUAGCAUGGGAAGGUAAGAAAUAUAGUCUAUAUUCGGAGUCAUCAUGGGAGCCAUUUAAAUUAGGAGUAAAAGUAAAAACCUGAAUGAGUGUAGUUCUGCCUUUACUCUCUACCUAGUCAGGCCCAUGAUGAGGAACAAGUGUGUAGGAAGAGAACAUAUGUAAUGCCCUGAACACUCUACAUUCAUAACUAGCUUCUACUGCUAUGCUGUCAAGUCUGGUAGCUGAUGGCCAGUUGGAAAUAUACUAGUUUCUAUUUUGUAUGAUGUAAAUACAACAUACAAGCCAACUUUUGAAAGCUUAGUAUGAAAAAUGUAAAAUAUUGUAAUAACUUGAUAUUGGUAACAUGUUGAAAUGGUAGUGUUGUUACAACUAGAGAAGAUAUUUUGUUAACAUUGAUUUUGUUUCUUUAUGCAAUUUAAUGGGUAAGUAAGCAGAGUCCAUGAGUUCUUUGCACUAUUUGGUGUUUCUUGAAGUAAUUUAAAGUUGUCUGGAACCCGCUUGCAUUUCCUUAGGUGUUCGGUUAAUUGUUAGCCUCUAGUCAAGCUCUCUUCUUUAUGGUAGGUCCUUGGUUACUAAGUGCUUAUCUGUAUCAUGAAGUAAGUCCUGGAGACUUUAGUCCUUAACACUGGUUAGCAUAUGAUAGUCUAAAGUCCUUUUGUAUUGUAUGUUUAGUCUAUAAAUUCAUACUUAACCCCAAACUAUUAUCCUAACUAGUAGUUACAGCAUUUCCACACAGUUUUAGAGACUACCAAAACAUAUAUCUUUGCCAGGGAAAGAUAAAAUAACCAGCUAAGUACAUUAAUCAUACAAAAGAAACUGGACGCUGCCAACAGGUAGCUGUGGCAGUGUUAAAACAGUAGGCAGAAGUACUCAUCAGAUUGUUCUUGAGGGGCUCAGGGUGGCUUUGGAAUUUAAUUCAUUAAUAUUCUAUCCAGUUCUAUUACAUGGAUCUUAUGUGAUUUUUUUGCUUUGUGUGUAUAAGUGUGCAUUUGUAUGUGAAAAUGUACAUGCACAUACAUGUGUAGACAGAGGUCAUUGUCACCCAGAUGUUAAUGUGGAUAUCUUCAAUAGCACUUUUCUGUAUUUUUGAGGCAGGGUUUCUCACUGAACCCAAAAUUCACCAAUUUGGCUAAACUCUCUGGCCAUGGAGCCCCAGUUGUAGCCCUGUAUCUCUCAGUGCUCUGAUCACAGGUGCUUGUGACCACCCCGGGUUCUCCAUGGGUGCUGGGGAUGAUACUCAGGUCCUCCCAUGCACACGACAAGCUCCCCACUAGAUGAGUGAUCUGCUUAGCUCUUUACUCUCACCUUUUAUGAAGCACCGAGAGCUUUGGGAUGGGUAAGCAAAUGUGCAUUAACCAGGACAUGGGUGUGUCUCUUUGAAAGCAGCAAUAAGAAAUGAUUAAGAAUGUUCUAGGCAAUUUAUCUUUCUGUCUGUGACAUGUAGAACUUGGAACUAU